rnacentral:rRNA from 1 species
UACGUAGGGUGCGAGCGUUGUCCGGAAUUAUUGGGCGUAAAGGGCUCGUAGGCGGUUUGUCGCGUCGGGAGUGAAAACUCAGGGCUUAACCCUGAGCCUGCUUCCGAUACGGGCAGACUAGAGGUAUGCAGGGGAGAACGGAAUUCCUGGUGUAGCGGUGAAAUGCGCAGAUAUCAGGAGGAACACCGGUGGCGAAGGCGGUUCUCUGGGCAUUACCUGACACUGAGGAGCGAAAGUGUGGGGAGCGAACAGG